rnacentral:rRNA from 1 species
GAUGAACGCUGGCGGCGUGCCUAAUACAUGCAAGUCGAGCGAACGGACGAGAAGCUUGCUUUUCUGAUGUUAGCGGCGGACGGGUGAGUAACACGUGGAUAACCUACCUAUAAGACUGGGAUAACUUCGGGAAACCGGAGCUAAUACCGGAUAAUAUUUUGAACCGCAUGGUUCAAAAGUGAAAGACGGUCUUGCUGUCACUUAUAGAUGGAUCCGCGCUGCAUUAGCUAGUUGGUAAGGUAACGGCUUACCAAGGCAACGAUGCAUAGCCGACCUGAGAGGGUGAUCGGCCACACUGGAACUGAGACACGGUCAGACUCCUACGGGAGGCAGCAGUAGGGAAUCUUCCGCAAUGGGCGAAAGCCUGACGGAGCAACGCCGCGUGAGUGAUGAAGGUCUUCGGAUCGUAAAACUCUGUUAUUAGGGAAGAACAUAUGUGUAAGUAACUGUGCACAUCUUGACGGUACCUAAUCAGAAAGCCACGGCUAACUACGUG